rnacentral:rRNA from 1 species
AUGGGUCUGUCCGCGAAGGUCUUCGUGGUCCUCCUGCUGCUUCUCGUCGCCACGGUGGCUCUGGCGAGGGAUUGCGAGUCGGAUAGCCACAAGUUCCAUGGGGCGUGCUUCAGCGACACCAACUGUGCGAACGUCUGCCAGACCGAGGGCUUCACCGCCGGCAAGUGCGUCGGCGUCCAGCGCCACUGCCACUGCACCAAGGACUGCUAG